UACGUAGGGUCCGAGCGUUGUCCGGAAUUACUGGGCGUAAAGGGCUCGUAGGCGGUUUGUCGCGUCGGGAGUGAAAUCCACUGGCUUAACUGGUGGCCUUGCUUUCGAUACGGGCAGACUGGAGGUAUGCAGGGGAGAACGGAAUUCCUGGUGUAGCGGUGAAAUGCGCAGAUAUCAGGAGGAACACCAAUGGCGAAGGCAGCACUCUGGUACAUGACUGACGCUGAGACGCGAAAGCGUGGGUAGCAACAGG
rnacentral:rRNA from 1 species